rnacentral:rRNA from 1 species
UGAACGCUGGCGGCGUGCUUAACACAUGCAAGUCGAACGGAACUACUCCAAUGAGAGUCUUCGGAAAGGAUUUGGUUUAGUUUAGUGGCGGACGGGUGAGUAACGCGUGGGUAACCUGCCCUAUACAGGGGGAUAACAGUUGGAAACGACUGUUAAUACCGCAUAAGCGCACAGGAGCGCAUGCUCCGGUGUGAAAAACUCCGGUGGUAUAGGAUGGACCCGCGUCUGAUUAGCUGGUUGGCGGGGUAACGGCCCACCAAGGCGACGAUCAGUAGCCGGCCUGAGAGGGUGAACGGCCACAUUGGGACUGAGACACGGCCCAAACUCCUACGGGAGGCAGCAGUGGGGAAUAUUGCACAAUGGGGGAAACCCUGAUGCAGCGACGCCGCGUGAGCGAAGAAGUAUCUCGGUAUGUAAAGCUCUAUCAGCAGGGAAGAAAAUGACGGUACCUGACUAAGAAGCCCCGGCUAACUACGUG